rnacentral:rRNA from 1 species
UAGUCCACGCCCUAAACGAUGUUUACUCGAUGUUUGUCACUAGAUGAGCAUCCAAGGGAAACCGUUAAGUGACCCACCUGGGGAGUACGAUCGCAAGAUUGAAACUCAAAGGAAUUGACGGGGCCCGCACAAGCGGUGGAGCAUGUGGUUUAAUUCGAUGAUACGCGAGGAACCUUACCAGGGCUUAAAUGUAAGUUGCAUGAUUUAGAGAUAGAUCUUUCUUCGGACUACUUACAAGGUGCUGCAUGGUUGUCGUCAGCUCGUGCCGUGAGGUGUCAGGUUAAGUCCUAUAACGAGCGCAACCCCUACCGUUAGUUGCCAGCAUGUUAUGAUGGGGACUCUAGCGGGACUGCCGGUGCAAACCGAGAGGAAGGUGGGGAUGGACGUCAAAUCAUCACGGGCCCUUACGUCCUGGGGCUACACACGUGCUACAAUGGUAACGACAGAGGGGCAGCCA